AUUGAACGCUGGCGGCAGGCCUAACACAUGCAAGUCGGACGGUAGCACAGAGGAGCUUGCUCCUCGGGUGACGAGUGGCGGACGGGUGAGUAACGUCUGGGAAUCUGCCCGAUAGAGGGGGAUAACCACUGGAAACGGUGGCUAAUACCGCAUAACGUCGAAAGACCAAAGAGGGGGACCUUCGGGCCUAUCACCAGCGGAUGAACCCAGAUGGGAUUAGCCAGUAGGCGGGGUAAUGGCCCACCUAGGCGACGAUCCGUAGCGGGUCUGAGAGGAUGGCCAGCCACACUGGAACUGAGACACGGUCCAGACUCCUACGGGAGGCAGCAGUGGGGAAUAUUGCACAAUGGGCGCAAGCCUGAUGCAGCCAUGCCGCGUGUAUGAAGAAGGCCUUCGGGUUGUAAAGUACUUUCAGCGGGGAGGAAGGCGGUGAGGUUAAUAACCUCGCCGAUUGACGUUACCCGCAGAAGAAGCACCGGCUAACUCCGUGCCAGCAGCCGCGGUAA
rnacentral:rRNA from 1 species